UACGUAGGGGGCUAGCGUUGUCCGGAAUCAUUGGGCGUAAAGAGCGUGUAGGCGGCUCGGUAAGUCCGCUGUGAAAGUCCAGGGCUCAACCCUGGAAUGCCAGUGGAAACUGUCGAGCUAGAGUCCGGAAGAGGCGAGUGGAAUUCCUGGUGUAGCGGUGAAAUGCGCAGAUAUCAGGAGGAACACCAAUGGCGAAGGCAGCUCGCUGGGACGGUACUGACGCUGAGACGCGAAAGCGUGGGGAGCAAGCAGG
rnacentral:rRNA from 1 species